UGGGGAAUAUUGGACAAUGGGCGCAAGCCUGAUCCAGCAAUGCCGCGUGAGUGAGGAAGGCCUUAGGGUUGUAAAGCUCUUUCACCCACGACGAUGAUGACGGUAGUGGGAGAAGAAGCCCCGGCUAACUUCGUG
rnacentral:rRNA from 1 species